rnacentral:rRNA from 1 species
GACGAACGCUGGCGGCGUGCUUAACACAUGCAAGUCGAACAGUGGCGAACGGGUGCGUAACACGUGAGUAACCUGCCCUCCACUUUGGGACAACUCCGAGAAAUCGGGGCUAAUACUGUAUAGUGGGGGAUGGGCUCGCGGCCUAUCAGUUUGUUGGUGAGGUAGUGGUCACCAAGGCGGGAUGGGUAGCCGGCCUGAGAGGGCGACCGGCCACACGGGGACUGAGACAGGGGCCAGAGGCAUACGGGAGGAAGCAGUGGGGAAUAGUGCACGAUGGGCGAAAGCAUGAUGCAGCGACGCCGCGGGGGGGAUGACGGCCUUCGGGGUGUAAACCUCUUUGAGCAAGGAAGCGGUACGUGCAGAAGAAGCGCCGGCUAACUACGUGCCAGCAGCCGCGGUAAUUC